rnacentral:rRNA from 1 species
AGUGAACGCUGGCGGUAGGCCUAACACAUGCAAGUCGAACGGCAGCACAGGAGAGCUUGCUCUCUGGGUGGCGAGUGGCGGACGGGUGAGGAAUACAUCGGAAUCUACUUUUUCGUGGGGGAUGACGUAGGGAAACUUACGCUAAUACCGCAUACGACCUACGGGUGAAAGCAGGGGAUCUUCGGACCUUGCGCGAUUGAAUGAGCCGAUGUCGGAUUAGCUAGUUGGCGGGGUAAAGGCCCACCAAGGCGACGAUCCGUAGCUGGCCUGAGAGGAUGAUCAGCCACACUGGAGAUGAGACACGGUCCAGACUCCUACGGGAGGCAGCAGUGGGGAAUAUUGGACAAUGGGCGCAAGCCUGAUCCAGCCAUACCGCGUGGGUGAAGAAGGCCUUCGGGUUGUAAAGCCCUUUUGUUGGGAAAGAAAUCCAGCUGGCUAAUACCCGGUUGGGAUGACGGUACCCAAAGAAUAAGCACCGGCUAACUUCGUGCCAGCCGCCGCGGUAA